rnacentral:rRNA from 1 species
GAUGAACGCUGGCGGCGUGCCUAAUACAUGCAAGUCGAGCGAACGGACGAGAAGCUUGCUUCUCUGAUGUUAGCGGCGGACGGGUGAGUAACACGUGGAUAACCUACCUAUAAGACUGGGAUAACUUCGGGAAACCGGAGCUAAUACCGGAUAAUAUUUUGAACCGCAUGGUUCAAAAGUGAAAGACGGUCUUGCUGUCACUUAUAGAUGGAUCCGCGCUGCAUUAGCUAGUUGGUAAGGUAACGGCUUACCAAGGCAACGAUGCAUAGCCGACCUGAGAGGGUGAGCGGCCACACUGGAACUGAGACACGGUCCAGACUCCGACGGGAGGCAGCAGUAGGGGAUCUUCCGCGAUGGGCGAAAGCUUGACGGAGCAACGCCGCGUGAGUGAUGAAGGUCUUCGGAUCGUAAAACUCUGUUAUUAGGGAAGAACAAAUGUGUAAGUAACUAUGCACGUCUUGACGGUACCUAAUCAGAAAGCCACGGCUAACUACGUG